rnacentral:piRNA from 1 species
UGUGAUACUAGUUUGAGCCAAGGGCAGCA